GCCAGUGUAGUGUCGUGGUUUGAGCUUUGGACUACGACUCUGGAGACCAGGGUUCGAAUCCCCACUGGGC